rnacentral:rRNA from 1 species
UCCUUAGAUGUUCUGGGCUGCACGCGUGCUACACUGAUUACUUCAACAAGUGUUUUAACUGGAGAGUUCGCGUAAUCCUGAAAUGUUAUCGUGAUGGGAGUAGAGUAUUGUAUUUGUUAAUCUUUAACGAGGAAUUCCUAGUAAGUGUAGGUUUAUAAGUUGUUCUGAUUACGUCCCUGCCCUUUGUACACACCGCCCGUCGCUCCUACCGAUUGAUUGAUCCGGUGAAUUACAUAGAAUUUUGCGUUUUACAUGACGGAAGAUGAAGUGUUUUAAACCUUAUCAUUUAGAGGAAGGAGAAGUCGUAACA